AUAGUGGCAGUAUCGUAGCCAAUGAGGUUUAUCCGAGGCGCGAUUAUUGCUAAUUGGAAGAGUAGAUAGCUUAAAUUUUAAUAAAAGUCCAAUUUGUCCACAUUUUUCUUUUAUAAUUUGUGUUUUUCGCCUCCUAAGAAA